rnacentral:rRNA from 1 species
AUGGCUCAGAACGAACGCUGGCGGCGCGUUUAAGCAUGCAAGUCGAGCGGCAAGGGCCUUCGGGCCCCUAGAGCGGCGGACGGGUGAGUAACACGUGGACAAUCUGCCCCCCGGCCCGGGAUAGGCCCAGGGAAACCUGGAUUAAUACCGGAUGAGACGGGACCCGCGAUGGCGGGACCCGGGAAAGGCGCUGCGGCGCCGCCGGGGGAUGAGUCUGCGUCCCAUUAGCUAGACGGCGGGGUAACGGCCCACCGUGGCGACGAUGGGUAGCCGGCCUGAGAGGGUGGACGGCCACAUUGGAACUGAGACACGGUCCAGACUCCUACGGGAGGCAGCAGCUAAGAAUCUUCCGCAAUGGGCGAAAGCCUGACGGAAGCGACGCCGCGUGAACGAAGAAGGCCGUGAGGUUGUAAAGUUCUUUUCGGGAGGGGGAACAACCGUGGCAGGGAAUGGCCGCGGGAUGACGUGAAUCCCGGAAUAAGCCCCGGCUAACUACGUGCCAGCCGCCGC